rnacentral:tRNA from 1 species
GGGCCGUUAGCUCAGCUGGUAGAGCGCAUGCAUGGCAUGCAUGAGGUCAGGAGUUCGAUCCUCCUACGGUCCA